GGAUAACUGAAGGUUGGGUGGCUUGAAUCACUCCCUGUACGUGGACAGUUUGACCAGAAGGGAACUGCACUACAGUUACAGAGGGAGAUCCUCUUCCAGUUGUUGAUCCCGCUACAGAAACCUGUUGAGAUGAAGCCCUGUUAGAGGGGGCCGUCUGUCAAGCCUCUGUGGGCUCAACACUAACGGGAGGGGGCAGGGGGACAAGGACAGCGGCUGGGGGCAUCCGGAUGCAGCGGAGGAGGCAAGCAACAUAAACGGCGGUGACAGCCCUUCCCGCUUCCGUUACCUGGACUGUUGAAGGGGGACCCGGUGGAACAUGGCUACAUGGCAGUUGGCUACGUGGCCGUCCUGCCGAACAGCUGAUUGGCGCAGGGAAGCAACGGAGCCGGAUGUUUGCAGUGUGUCCUUGCUUAGCUGCUCUUAUCAGCGCACACACCCAAUGCUGGUUAGGUGGGUGGGGGAUAGGGCCAGUUGGGAGAUGCAUAGGUAGAGCGUUGGGAGGCAAUUGCUCCCAGCACUAACUUCAUUUGCUGUUUCUGUGACUAAACACAUGCCAGAACGUUCUGUGAUUAAACCAACCACCUGUGAACCCAACAGCUUGUUUCUUGUUGGUGUGGCAAGGACAUCUGACACAAAGUAUAUGAAACAGUUGACAGCUCAAUAUGUCAGUAGCCCCUAUUUCACUUUUAGUAUCAGCCAGAUAUACUUGACAGCAGCACAUAAGAAUGCCCCUUUAUUAUAAUUUAAUAUACCAUCAUGUUUAAAAAAUUAGAACCCAUCUCUAAGACAUAUACUUUUAUCUUCCUCCUUUUUUCAUUUUGAUUUAAAACAUGUAUUUUGAGGCGGAUGAAACUAAAAUAAAAACUGUAUCCAAUGGA